CAUCCAUACCCUUGUUCUUGAAGCAUAGUAAAGCAUGAUUCAAAGUGAAUUCCUUUUGACUAAUGUAUGGCAGAAAACAAGUGUGGGGGAAGUGUUCUCAUGUGAGUUAAUGUGCCAUAGGCACCGCAUUGAAAGAAAAAAAAAAGUUGUGAAAAGAAUGAAAAAGAGUUGAAAAAUAUAUGAAAAAGAGUUUUAAAGUGUUGUUUGUUGAAGAAAGGGUCCAAAACAUUGAAUUUGGCCCUAAGUAUUGGUUGAAUCUUCCCUUCGUGUUUAAAAGUUGAUUUCUGCAAUCUAAGUGAAUUCUCAGUUUCAAUUUCAUUACUUUGCUUGCUAUUGCUUUAAGAACGUUUGUUAUCCCUAUCCUUCAUUUGUUAGCCAACACCCCAAGCCCCGUUACAACCUUUGACUUCAAUCUUGAGUGUUAUGUGUUUCAAUUUGUGGAGUUUGAAUUUGGUAUGAGCAUAUGGUGUCACUGGUUCUCGCGUCUAAGUAGUAGCAUUCCAUUCAUGAGAUCAUAUCUAAACAUGUUUAUUAACUAUAGAAAUUGCUUUCUUUGUGAUAUAUAUAUGUGAGCAUUCGUUUUCAUAUCUACAUCAAUCUUCUCACAUAUAAUUAGUAUAGGGUGUGUAGUUCGAAAAUCUGAGUGAAAAUUGAGUGCAUCUCUUGUAAGGAAUUGAGUGAUUUCUCUAAGGCAUGUUACUACAUUCAAAACAUUGUUUUAAUUGAUUAAUUGUGAACAAGUAAGUAGUGGCUAUGAUUAAGUAUGUGUUUAAGUGUGGAGAUGACUCAAAUCUGUGCGGAAAAUGAUUUUUAACAUGUCAUGUGCAUUGGAAAUCCCUGAGGCAAAUGUUGGAAGGUUUAGGUUGUGUUUUAUUUGUUUUGUUUCGUUUUAUUUCUUUGUUUUGCUCGAGGACUAGCAAAAGCUAAGUGUGGGGGAAUUUGAUAGGAGCAUAUUUAUGCGACUUAAUUGGCUUGUUCUCGUGCAUUUACGUUGUGUUUCCUUAGUUAUUUUAGUGUUUAAAGUCACUUUUGUGUGUUUUCAGAUUCUAAGGCCAAAGGAUGCAAAAUGAUGUAAUUUGGAGCCUUUUGGAGCAAAAGGAAUGGAUGAAUUGAAGACUUGAAGAAAUUAGGAUUCCUAAUCAAUGAAGGAUUCCUAAUCACACAAGGAUUCCAACUCCAACAAGGAUUCCUACUUGAAGUAGGAAAGUUAAGCCAAGGUUUCCUAUUUUGGUUUGACCUUUCCUAAUUCUAAAAGUACUCAUGUUCCAGCCACUUUGAGGACUACAUAUGCAUUUGAUGACACAAAACAAAGGCCCUAGAACUCUUAGGAACAUUUGCAGCACCUUUCCCAAUCCUCCAUCCCCUUGCCGUGCAAGGGAUCCAUUUCCCCUUCAGUUUUAGGACAUCAAACCUUUCCCUAAACCUUUCCUACAUCACAGCCGCAUUCCCUUGACCCUUCCUCUUCCUUGCCGUGCAAGGGAGAGUGACUCUUUCCUAUUUUCUGAAUUUAAACACAUUCCUUUUGUGUUUCAUACCCUAGCCGCACCUUUUAGCUAAUUUCCAUUAAGUUUCUGAUUUUGUUUCCUAAUUUUAGAAGCCUUAGACUUAAUUUCUGUUUACCCAAUUAACCUAGGGUUUUAAUUGCCUAAACCCUUUAAAUAAACUCCUCUUUUGCAGCCACAAAACAUCCAUAGACUGCCAUUCACGCCAGAAUCCAUUCCAUACAUUUAGCCGCACCAUUCUACCACCAUUCACCCUAGUUUCUGCCUAAAAACAUCCCUAGCCGCCCCAUACACUCAUCCUAAACCUAAAUCCAUACUUUUACACCAUCCACAACCCCCAAAAACACCCAACCACUUGUGUGCCGCAGCAAGAAGGAAGAAGGAAGGACCCUUGGAUGUUCAAGCUUCAUUGUUGGUGCAUUCUAAAUGUAAUUCUUUUCAUGAUUUCAAUGUGUAAUUUCUUUCCCUUUCGUUUUGCUAUGAACAUGAGUGGCUAAAACCCCUAUUGGUUAGGGGUGAUUUCAAAGCCAUGACUAUCUGUGCAAUUUGAUUUGAUAAAUUCCAGUUAUGAAUUCUUGAAUCGUGAAUGCAUUUGGCUUAACUACUUGAUUAAUAACUUAUUUGUGUUUGUUAAUUAGGGGUCGACACUUAAUUGGGAUGCAUAAAUAUGAUGCUAGAGUAUAAGGAUGUUUCACAUAAUCGUUACAAACUUAUAUUCAUAUGUAGUGAAGGUUGCUAGUCACAAUCGCGUUAAGUUCAAUUCCUAGCAUGAGUGACAUGAUGUCAUAGUUGCAAGUGCUUUGUCAUUGCUUAUGGUUUCAUUGAACGUAAUGAUCUUUGAUCGUAUCUCUAUUAUGAUGUCAUGUACGGGACCUUUGAAGAAUGUUUUGGGUUGUCGAAUGAUGCCAUCCAAUCCAAUAAUAAAAGGGAAAUCUGAGAAUUAGCUAGUGAUGUCACGGUUAAUUUGGGGCAAUGUCGUUCAUAAUUCUAUGAAGGAAUAACUAGAAAUCGAGUCGUUUGCAUACGUGUCAUGUGUGGAGAAAGAGCCUCUAACUAAUCCAUCAUCCAUAGUUUCAUCUAAUUUCGUUUUACAAUCUGUUUUGCAAGUUUAAUUUCGUCCAAAAUCAACCCCAUCUUAUUUCUUUGAGUCAUAUUAACUAGAACUUGUCUUAGAAUAUGUUUUUAAGUGUUUUAGGUCAUUAGAAAACCAAAAUUCGUCCAAAUUGUGUUAGAGUCCCAAAACUACCCAGAAAGUGGUUUUUAGGCAGUUUUGAGUCUCUAAAUUAUGCCUCCAUGGCUAAGUAGUAGUAUUCCAUUCAUUAGUAGGACACUACGACGUAAUGGGGCGAUAGCAUUCCAUUCAUGAGAUCAUAAAU
rnacentral:lncRNA from 1 species